AUGAGCCCAUCUCCUCCCCAGUUGCAAGUCACAAUGGCAGAGGUCGCCCUGUGUAUUGCGAAGGAAUGGAAUAAGGCUUUUCUGACCAUCUUAACACGUAUCAUUCCGUAUUUUUUUUUCAUUACUGAGUUCUGUGCAGAACAGGUGGCUCUGGAACGCACUGCUGCUCUGUACCUCUGCCCCUGCCCCGCGUCACGUGCAGCGCCUUACCUGGCUCCGUCCCUCAGCACUGCACUGCGUCCUACUCAGCGCCACCCCGCGGUUCGGGAGAUGGUACCAUACGCGGGAUGGUUCUCCCUAGCGUCGAGCGGCCCGGGACCAGGAUGUUUUCCAGGACUAAUGCAACUGAUGAAAUACCUGCCCUUUUCUGCUCAAGGUAAGUGACUUGUUACUUUAUGAAAAUACCAGAUACCAGUAGAAUUCAGAGUUGGAAUAAAAAGACCCAUUCAGUCA
rnacentral:lncRNA from 1 species